rnacentral:rRNA from 1 species
AUGCCAUCCUGGAAUGACGAGGAGAGCUCGGACGAGGACAUCAACAUGGUUUCAAUGGAUCCUCAGCUCUUUGAAACCCAUGACAGUGUGGUGGAACCAUCUUUCUGUGGUUCUUACACUAAAUCUGAGCCGACGUGCAUGAUGCAUCAUCAGAGGCCGAAGAAGAUGGUGGAUUUUGAAGGUGUGAACUGUGGGGUUGUGGAGUGGGUGGAUGGUCCUUGGCCAGAGAUUCUACAAAGGUGCCUAACAAGGAUUUGGGACAUGUACCAUGAGAAGAACUUGGGGAGGGUGAAGGACAAAUAA